CAAGGUUUGGCUCACCUGUUCAGCGGGGAAUAUAUAACUCGAAGGACGCUAACACAUAUUGUUCCUCCAUGCAACAGAACUCGUCCAUUACGACGAAACGUCACUCGAUUCUGAUCAGAUUCAACGAAAAGGAAAACGGACACUAACCUAUUUCGGGGCGGAAUGUCACCUGUCAACAAUCUCAGUACAAACUCAGCCUCUUCAGAUCGAUGAUUGAUUUGAAUCAGAAAUACACAUGCAAGAAGAA